GUACAUGCUUUUUGUGAUGCAAUUGGCUUCUGGAGGAUCAGAUGAGCAUCAGAGCUGGCACAAGACAAGGGGCAGGCACAGAGAUGGUAGUUCAUCUUGCUAGCAGCAAGCUGCAAGAUCAUCCUAGCCAUACAGCCCAACUGCACCCCCAAGGCAUUCAGGUUAGCAGAAUAAAGGUCAGCCAAGUUUCAGACUAUAAUGCAUUCCCUAAAGAGUCUACCAAGCAAGUCUGUCUACUGAUCAAGAUGCCUACUUGACUUGUAGAUGCUACCUUCUCACAGGAACACAGCCACUGCUGACUCAAUCAACAGAAAAUCAUGGAAGUGACAUACAACAAAGAAUCAAGAAUUAAUGCAGUUCAC